rnacentral:tRNA from 1 species
GGCCCCAUCGUCUAGUGGACUAGGACGGCGCCCUUUCAAGGCGUAAACACGGAUUCGAAUUCCGUUGGGGUCACCA